rnacentral:rRNA from 7 species
GUACGUACAAGCAGUGGGAGCACAGGUUUACCUGUGUGACUGCGUACCUUUUGUAUAAUGGGUCAGCGACUUAUAUUCUGUAGCAAGGUUAACCGAAUAGGGGAGCCGGAGGGAAACCGAGUCUUAAUUGGGCGUUAAGUUGCAGGGUAUAGACCCGAAACCCGGUGAUCUAGCCAUGGGCAGGUUGAAGGUUGGGUAACACUAACUGGAGGACCGAACCGACUAAUGUUGAAAAAUUAGCGGAUGACCUGUGGCU